rnacentral:rRNA from 1 species
UUUCCUACGGGAGGCAGCAGUGAGGAAUAUUGGUCAAUGGGCGGGAGCCUGAACCAGCCAAGCCGCGUGAAGGAAGAAGGCGCCAGGCGUCGUAAACUUCUUUUGUCGGGGAACAAAGGGCGCCACGCGUGGCGUUGUGAGUGUACCCGAAGAAAAAGCAUCGGCUAACUCCGUGCCAGCAGCCGCGGUAAUACGGAGGAUGCGAGCGUUAUCCGGAUUUAUUGGGUUUAAAGGGUGCGUAGGCGGUAUUUUAAGUUAGUGGUAAAACGUCGGGGCUUCACCUUGAUUGGCCAUUAAAACUGGAG